rnacentral:rRNA from 1 species
CUAUCAGCUUUAGACGGUAGGGUAUUGGCCUACCGUGGCUAUGACGGGUAACGGGGAAUUAGGGUUCGAUUCCGGAGAGGGAGCCUGAGAAACGGCUACCACAUCUAAGGAAGGCAGCAGGCGCGCAAAUUACCCAAUCCUAAUACAGGGAGGUAGUGACAAGAAAUAACAAUACAGAACCUCACGGUUUUGUAAUUGGAAUGAGUUAAGUAUAAACCCCUUAACGAGUAUCAAUUGGAGGGCAAGUCUGGUGCCAGCAGCCGCGGUAAUUCCAGCUCCAAUAGCGUAUAUUAAAGUUGUUGCAGUUAAAAAGCUCGUAGUUGAUUUUCUGUUAAUUUUUAUGUAUAAUAUUGCGAUAUUUACAUAAUAUUAACAUAAUUCACAUUACUUUACAGUAUGUGGAAUUUUACUUUGAGAAAAUUAGAGUGCUUAAAGCAGGCUAUUGCCUUGAAUACUCCAGCAUGGAAUAAUAUUAAGGAUUUUUAUUCUUCUUAUUGGUUCUAGAAUAAAAAUAAUGAUUAAUAGGAACAGUUGGGGGCAUUUGUAUUUAACAGUUAGAGGUGAAAUUCUUAGAUUUGUUAAAGACAAACUACUGCG